rnacentral:tRNA from 1 species
CGGCUCGUGGCUCAGCUUGGUAGAGCGCUCGGUUCGGGACCGAGAGGUCGCUGGUUCAAAUCCAGUCAUCCCGACCA